CCUUCCCUACGGGAGGCAGCAGUGAGGAAUAUUGGUCAAUGGCCGAAGGGCUGAACCAGCCAAGCCGCGUGAAGGAAUAAGGCCCUACGGGUCGUAAACUUCUUUAGUCAGGGAACAAAGGGAGCCACGCGUGGCGCUGUGAGUGUACAUGAAGAAUAAGCAUCGGCUAACUCCGUGCCAGCAGCCGCGGUAAUACGGAGGAUGCGAGCGUUAUCCGGAUUUAUUGGGUUUAAAGGGUGCGUAGGCGGUUUGUCAAGUCAGCGGUAAGAAUUCGUGGCUCAACC
rnacentral:rRNA from 1 species